CCUACGGGAGGCAGCAGUAGGGAAUCUUUCACAAUGGGCGAAAGCCUGAUGGAGCAACGCCGCGUGCAGGAUGAAGGCCUUCGGGUUGUAAACUGCUUUUAUAAGCGAGAAAUAUGAUGGUAACUUAUGAAUAAGGAUCGGCUAACUACGUGCCAGCAGCCGCGGUCAUACGUAGGAUCCGAGCAUUAUCCGGAGUGACUGGGUGUAAAGAGUUGCGUAGGUGGCAUAAUAAGUAGCUAGUGAAAUCUGGUGGCUCAACCAUUCAGACUAUUAGCUAAACUGUUAAGCUCGAGACCGUUAGAGGUAACUGGAAUGUCUAGUGUAGGAGUGAAAUCCGUAGAUAUUAGAAGGAACACCAAUAGCGUAGGCAGGUUGCUGGGACGGUUCUGACACUGAGGCACGAAAGCGUAGGGAGCAAACGGGAUUAGAUACCCUGGUAGUC
rnacentral:rRNA from 1 species